rnacentral:rRNA from 1 species
UGCUAUCGGGAUGGGACUAAGACAUGUUAGUCGUGCGCCUCCUAGCCAUGAUGGAGGCGCGGCGCACAGCUCAGUAGCACAUGGCUAACCUGCCCUUGGGACGAGAACAACCCCGGGAAACUGGGGCCAAUUCUCGAUAGGUGAAGCUUCCUGGAAUGGAUCUUCGCUCAAAAGACGCUUAGGUCAUGCUUCUAGGCGUUGCCCAAGGAUGGGGCCGUGGCCGAUCAGGUUGUUGGUGAGGUAAUGGCUCACCAAGCCUAUAACCGGUGCGGGCCGUGGGAGCGGGAGCCCGGAGAUGGGAACUGAGACAAGAUCCCAGGCCCUACGGGGCGCAGCAGUCGCGCAAACUUCGCAAUAAGCAAAAGCUUGACGGGGCUAUCCCGAGUGCCAUCCGCUGAGGAUGGCUUUUCUCCAGUGUAGAUAGCUGGGGGAAUAAGGAGAGGGCAAGUCUGGUGUCAGCCGCCGCGGUAAUACCAGCUCUCCGAGUGGUGAGGACGAUUAUUGGGCCUGAAGCAUCCGUAGCCGGCUGGGCGAGUCCCCUGUUAAAUCCAAC